GCAAGUCGAGGGGUAACAGGAAAGCUUGCUUUUGCUGACGACCGGCGCACGGGUGAGUAACGCGUAUGCAAUCUGCCCUUAACUGGGGAAUAGCCCGAAGAAAUUCGGAUUAAUGUCCCAUAAUAUAUUAAUAUCGCAUGAUAUUGGUAUUAAAGCUCCGGCGGUUAAGGAUGAGCAUGCGUGACAUUAGAUAGUUGGUAAGGUAACGGCUUACCAAGUCUACGAUGUCUAGGGGGCCUGAGAGGGUAGUC
rnacentral:rRNA from 1 species